UUCUCUAUGCUUUUAUUAACAUUUUUGUUCGUAAAAAGUUUUGAUGCCUGAAUUACCUAUAGAGUUCACUCAAUACCAUACUAAUACAAAUCUUGUUAUAUAGUAAAAUAUAUGUUGUAGCUUUGGUGGACAGGACCAAGAUUAUAGAGUAAACUGUGAUAAUAGGCUUCAUUUUGUUGUGGUUUUGCAAUGAAUUAAUUUAGUAUGUGUAGAUAUUUCAAGGAAAAAUAGUUUGUCAUAUUAAUGACAUAGCUGAAAAAUAGAAAUUGACAAUUUUUUUAAUUAUUCAGACCUGUAGUUUAUAUUAAGUAAAGGUGAUUCAAGGGUGAUGAAAUGUUACAGAGAUUUUGGCUUACAAUAGUAAACAAAAUACUUAUGUUCCUGAUUAUUUAAGAAUAAUAUGCUAUUUUAAAAAUAUGGAAACCGCUUUCUCCCCCCGGAGCCGUGCUGGUUCUGCAGCUCUGUGGCAAGCCGCGGAAUUGGGGUUCUGUCCCACAGGAUGGGGUUUGUGAAAGUUGUCAAGAACAAGGCCUACUUCAAGAGAUACCAAGUGAAAUUCAGAAGGCGAGAGGGCAAAACUGACUACUAUGCUCGGAAACGAUUGGUAAUCCAAGAUAAAAAUAAGUACAACACACCUAAAUACAGAAUGAUUGUUCAUGUAACGAACAGAGAUAUCAUUUGUCAGAUUGCUUAUGCCCGUAUAGAAGGAGAUAUGAUAGUUUGUGCAGCUUAUGCUCACGAACUCCCAAAAUAUGGCGUGAAGGUUGGCCUGACAAAUUAUGCUGCAGCUAUUGUAUGGGCCUGCUGCUGGCCCGCAGGCUUCUUAAUAGGUUUGGUAUGGACAAAAUUUAUGAAGGCCAAGUCAAAGUGACUGGAGAUGAAUACAAUGUGGAAAGUAUUGAUGGUCAACCUGGUGCCUUCACCUGUUGCUUGGAUGCAGGACUUGCCAGAACUACUAACGGGAAUAAAGUUUUGGGGGCCCUAAAGGGAGCUGUCGAUGGAGGCUUGCCUGUCCCUCACAGUACCAAAUGGUUCCCUGGUUAUGAUUCAGAAAGCAAAGAAUUCAGUGCUGAGGUACACCGAAAGCACAUCAUGGGACAGAACGUUGCAGACUACAUGCGUUACCUGAUUGAAAAAGAUGAAGAUGCUUACAAGAAACAAUUCUCUCAGUGCAUAACGAACAGCGUAACUCCAGACAUGAUGGAGGAGAUGUAUAAGAAAGCUCAUGCUGCAAUACGAGAGAAUCCAGUGUAUGAGAAGAAGCCUAAGAAAGAAGUUAAAAAGAAGAGGUGGAACCGUCCCAAAAUAUCACUUGCCCAGAAGAAAGAUCGGGUAGCUCAGAAGAAGGCAAGCUUCCUUAGAGCUCAGGAACGAGCUGCCGAGAGUUAAACCAAACCACAAUUUUCUAUCAAGAUUUUUCAGAUAAGACAAUAAUAAACUUAUUGAACAAGCAAAAAAA